ACGACCUUACUUGAACAGGAUCUGUUCUAUAGUAGUCGUACCGCUGCAUCCUUUACCAAUAAGGAGGCAAGCACUUAACCCUGGUUGAUGACAUGACACCUGCGAGCCAGAGCGUGAUUAACGGCAGUCAUCUCUAGCUGACCAGGUUGUCUGACAGGGC
rnacentral:snoRNA from 2 species